AAGAAGUCAGGCCGGUUUAAGCCAUAGUACGGUAAGAGCUAUGCUGCCUGUGAGCCCCGUCCAAGGACGUAAAAUGAAGUCAGGCCGAAAGCCACGGCUUGAGCAAACCGUGCUGCCUGUGGCUCCAUCGUGGGGAUGUAAAAACCCGGGAGGCUGUAACCCAUGGAAGCUGUACGCAUGGGGUAGCAGACUAGUGGUUAG
rnacentral:lncRNA from 1 species